AUGGCGCCCGGGCUGGGGCCGUGGCUGCUGGCCUUGUCCUUGGCCGCGGGGCCGGCAGGGGUGUGGGCGCAGCUGAGGCUGGUGGAGGCCGGCGGAGGGCUGCGAGCGCCCGGGGACUCCGUGCUCCUCUCCUGCCGCGGAUCUGGCUUCCCCUUCGUGAAUCAUUAUGUUCGGUGGUACCGUCAGGCACCCGGUGGCAAACUCGAGUGGGUGUCCUGGAUAAGCCAUUAUUCAUCACGGACUCAAUUCGGGCCCGCAGUGGAAGGUCGAGCCACAGCCUCCCGGGACAAUUCCCAGUCCGAGGCAUCUCUCAUCCUGCACCUCCUGCACCCCCACGACUCUGCCCGCUACUUCUGUGCUGUUCGCACGGAGAGAGGAAAUCCAGCCGAGCUUUAACAGAAACCACUCGCCAGGGUCCCAGCUCUGGCCCUCGGAGCUGAAAGGGAGGUGUGUCCAUAGAUGUUCAGUGUUACUCCUAGGGAGCCGUGUAG